ACUUAAAUAGUUUAAAAUAAAAUUUUGGUUUGUGAUAUCAAGGAUAUGUAAUAGCAUUUUAGGUU
rnacentral:tRNA from 1 species